UUAUAAUAUCUACAGUAGUUUCAUCUUAUGGAAGCUCAUCUUAGUUUAAGUUUAUUAAUGAUGAACACUGUAAAAUAUCUUGAACAAAGAAUUAGGGAUGAAGUUAGAAGCUUAGUUUAUAGAUCAACCUGUCUAGCAUAAAUGCUUGACACAUUAUUUUAUUUCUACUUUACAGGUAUAUUUCAUGGACACAUAGAUAUGGUAUUCUGUUUUCUGUACAAUACUUGGUGGACUUUAUGGUAUUUUGCAUCACCUUGGUGAGGUAAGCCAUUUCUUCUAUAUAUUUCUCACUAUUAGAGUACAUUGGCAAUGUUCUUACUCUGGUGUGCUAUAGAUCCGGACGUUAGGAAUGUUGAGAAGUAGAUUCCACACCUUGCCAUCAGCAUUUGAUGCUUGUCUGAUUCCACCUUCAUCAAAAAAGGACAAAAAGGGACGAAAAGGUUUCUUUCAAAACAGAUUUCAUAAGGAGUCAGGCGUUGAAAAAUAUGGCGUUGCCAAGUUCGUACUUGUGUGGAACCAAGUUAUAAACAGUAUUAGAUCAGAGGACUUAAUCAGCAAUAGGGUGAGGGAAAUGGAGAUCAUGCUGGUAAAGUAGUGAAAGUUCUACAGGACAUGUUUGAAAUUAUAAACAAUGAUAUGAUGGUUGAUUCUUCCAGAAUAAUGGAACUGCUAAGCUCUUUCCAGGACAUGGAUGAGGAUUCUCCUUAUUUUUGCAGACAUAUUGAGCCACAAUUAUUUGAAAAAUACGCCGGUGAGAUGUCCAUCUAGUUCCCCUUGCCA